AAUGAACGCUGGCGGCAGGCCUAACACAUGCAAGUCGAACGGAUCCUUCGGGAUUAGUGGCGGACGGGUGAGUAACGCGUGGGAACGUGCCCUUUGGUUCGGAAUAGCCUCGGGAAACUGGGAGUAAUACCGGAUAAGCCCUUCGGGGAAAGAUUUAUCGCCAAAGGAUCGGCCCGCGUUGGAUUAGGUAGUUGGUGGGGUAAUGGCCUACCAAGCCGACGAUCCAUAGCUGGUUUGAGAGGAUGAUCAGCCACACUGGGACUGAGACACGGCCCAGACUCCUACGGGAAGCAGCAGUGGGAAAUCUUAGACAAUGGGGGAAACCCUGAUCUAGCCAUGCCGCGUGAUCGAUGAAGGCCUUAGGGUUGUAAAGAUCUUUCAGUUGGGAAGAUAAUGACGGUACCAACAGAAGAAGCCCCGGCUAACUCCGUGCCAGCCGCCGCAGUAACAC
rnacentral:rRNA from 1 species